GGGGAUUUAGCUCAGUGGUAGAGCGCUUGCCUAGCGAGCGAAAGGCCCUGGGUUCGGUCCCCAGCUCCG
rfam:Rattus norvegicus chromosome 20, whole genome shotgun sequence.